CCCACACUGGGGGAGAAAACAAUCCAACCCUGUCCAUUGACUUUGUAUUGCGUGAAGCUGCCUCCUUGUCAUUUCUUGUUUCUAACAAAAGAGAGAACAAGCUAAAAAAAAAAAGUAAAUAAUAGAACUAAGUUUUUAUAAGCUACCGAACCGUAAAAGCCAGCCUUUAAGGAGACAGAAGUGAAUACUAUAAGACGUGAAGCAUCAGCAGGAAGAAUGGGUAAAUUGUGGGUUCCUGACACUCAGUAUGCCUCAGUAAGCCUACGUGUGCAGUAAACAUUUCGUCACUGUAGGUGUGUGUGAGUGCAGCCUGAUAUUCUGGGAACGGAGGGGUCAUGUUGUUGACCCACCUGCUCCCAUCUCUCUUCAGCUGGAUCUUGUCGCGUUUCAGCAGCUGCAGCCCCUCACAAAGCACGUCUUUGUAAUCCGCCCUGGAUAGACACGAGGAGCAGAGGAAACAGAGAGGCAGAAACAGCUCAUCUUGCCUUCUAUGCAUGCAAAGUAUAUUUGCAAAUGUGACCAAGGCCGAAAUAGCUGGAGCAGGCUGUUUGCUGCACUUUAGUCAAAUUUUCCGAAUGUGGUGUGCUGUGGAGCGUGCUAAAGUAUCUACAUAGACUUGAUGCCUGUUUCAAAACCUUUAUAGAAAUGGCCAGGACAAAGACAUAUAGAUGGCAGACACAAACCAAGAGUCUCCCCUGAGAAAUGAAAUCCUUUUGUCUCACUGGAACAUGAGUUCAUGUGCUUCUCUCUUCUCCUCAUCUGUUACUAUUUCUUUCUUUUUUUCUCUCUCUCUUAUUAUAAACAUGGACCAAGAAUAUUCCCCACAAUGUAGAGCGCUAUGAUGGCUGGAUUCAUUGUUGUCUCAUCCGUAACCUGAUGAUACUCUUAUUCUCAGAAACUUUCAAAUUACUUCCAACACUUGGCAGCAAGUUAAACCAGUUAUGGACAGUGUUACAAUUUCCUUGGUAACACUUUAGAAUAAUGGUCUGUCAAUAAUAAAUAACUAUGCAGUAAGUAAUGC